GCUUUUGUGUUUGGUUUGGUGGCCGUUUCCCAGUGUACAGGUGCUGGGACCUCGUUCUAUCCAAUUAAUGAUGUUUAUAGCUUUAUUUUAGAUGUUUAUGUGCACCCCUAUAUCUCUUGACUAUUUUAUUUUUCUGAUAGAAGCUCAUGGUAUAUCUUACUCAGGCCUGUGAGCAGUGCUCCUUUGGCGACAUUGGUGCAGAGAGGAGAACCCCACAAACAGCAUGAGGUUCCCUUCAUUGGUGGCUCCAAUAUUGCACCUUCCUCUGCCAACUGGUCUCCACACUGAUCCUAGCACCAUAAAGACAUCAACUCUUUCUCCUAAGGAAUUUUCUGGCAAUUGUCGAUUGCUAAGCACAUGACUUCAUGAGUGUUCCCCUAACACACCCCCAUGUUGUAACUAACCAUGCAGGCUAUUUCUUGAUGCACCCAUACAUAAUGAGACAGGAGAACUUUUGACUGCAUAUUCAAACUGGUAUGAAAUCUCAGGAAUUUUUAAUGGCUAACACUGGUGAAUGAGGACAAUUUGAGUUAGGAUGAGACAUUUUGGGUCAAGAUAUGGAAGGAAACGUUCAUUUAGAUGCAUAGGAACUACUAAGGUUUUUUAUAAUCAUGCUUUUAGCAAAAUUUGGCUUUGGAAGCAGGAGAUGCUCAGUGGCUCUGCCCAGGAAAGGCUCCUGGAAAGGGCACCUCUGCUUAUGCUCAGUACAGGGAGAUCAUUAGCAGGGAGGCAAAGUCUGCUCCCCAUGACAUAAGCUGUCCCUUCUUGGACAUUUUAUUGUCUCCUAGAGAGUUCUGGCAUCCUCUGUGAUGUCACCAGUGUUGUAGUGACAACCAGUGCCCUAGUUUCUCUCAGUCUGAGUCUGGCAGUUACAAGCUAAGACAUGUUUUCCCAUCUUCACAAGCGAUCUGGGAGGGGGAACAUCGAUUGUGGAGAGACUAGAGUGAAGGAGUCUAGCCUUUCGUCUCAAAGUAAUGAUGGACAAAGACAGCGCUUCUGGGGAAUGUGGAAGCCAGCGACUCUUCUAUGGAGAGCAGCUGUGCAGGCAGGUGGUGGAGCAGAAGAAGGCGAGCUGCUGUGACAUCAUCAAGAUGCUGCCUAGCCCUGUGUCGCUGCUCUUCUGAGGAGACUGAGCCCUCUGACAAUGACUUGGAGAAGUACCAGGGUGAGGGCAUCUCAUGGCACAACAUUGACUACACCGACAAUGUGGGCUGUACCCACCUCAUCAGCAUGAAGCCCACUGGCAUCUUCUACCUGCUGGACGAGGAGAGCAAGUGAGUGUCCCUGCCCCAUCUGUCUGCCACAUGCCAGUGUGGGGACAAGUCAGGUUCCCUGAGCUGCUCAGCUUCUCACACUCAUCUUCUGAGUCCCUAGGCAUCACUUCUACCCAGGACUUGUCCAGCAGGCUCUGUAAACAGCAGGCAAAGGGCUCCCCUGUGCUAGCUUCACACAUCUUCAUGGGAGGCCCAGCACAAGCAGCUCAGAGCAGGGCUAGGGCUGUGCAGAGCCAGCAGUGUGUGCUGUGGGGGGAAGGGAGGGAGGCCUCUCAGUCACCCAGGUGCCUUUGCAGAAAUCUGGAGGCUUUGACUUUGUUGCUACUGUGAUGGCAAUUCUAUUCCCUCUCCUGAUCCUGGGAACUGUCAGAGACUUAGUGUCCCACUUCCUGACAGACUCCUCUAGAAACAAAAGGAGAGACCUGAGGAGCUUCCCUGUCCAUGGUGAUUUCCCUGUGCCAAGGCAGGAGGCUGCUCACCAUGCAGAGGCCAAGAAGUAGAGAGGCAGGUGAAGCUUCUGCCUGCUGUGGCCAAAGCCCUAGGCUGCAUCCCUAGCACUGAAUAAUGGACCUGUUCCUCUAGCACCUGGGAGAUGGAGACAGGAGGAUAGCGAGUCCAAGGUCAUUCUUGGGUACAUCUUACAUCAAGGCCAACCUGGGCUACAUAAGACCCCGUGUUAAAAACAGAAGCCAAGAGCAGGGGUAGAGUCCAGAAUCCCCUGCAGCUUUUUAUCCUCAGAAUCCUGACUCCUCCCACAAGGCCCAAUUCCUGAGAGUCCUAGCAUCCUGCUGCAGACCCUGUGUGUACCUCAGGCCAAAUCUCCACCCAGUGAGGCAGAGCUCAGACAGGAGAAGAGGAGGCAGCUCUUGACUGGCAGUUGCAUGAGCUUGGCCUUGUCUGAGAAAAGCAGCUAGGAGCAGGAUGCCACUACAGGACGUGUGACAAGGCAGUCAUGUGUCAGGCUGGGUGCAUUUGUUAGGUGUGGUAUGUUGUUGGGUGGCAGGUAUGCACUGUGCAUGCAGAAUCUGAGGAACUUCUUUGCUGGCUUGUUUCCUCCAGUCAUAUGCUCCCUGGGACUCAGGUCAUCAAGCUCGGCCCCAAGUACCCUCACCUGCUCAACUGUCUCCCUGGCUCUAACUUGAAUCCUGAAAGAGCCAUGCUGACAUUACUGCAACAUUUUCUUCUUUUCUAUUCUUUUGUUUUUGUCCUUAGACAGUGAAUGCCGCAACACCCAGACCUUCUUCCCAGCCUGAAUGGUUAUAUCUCCACUUCCAGACAGACCUCCUCCCACAUGUAGCUGUAGAUUCCCCCAGGGCCGGGCAUCUUCCACACAUCUGGCUCUGCCUAUAUUUAGAGUGAGUUCAGGACCAACAAGGUGUGCCAAAACCCAGGGAGGUGUUGCUGUCCCUGGAGACAAAAUAGCCAGGUACAAGGAACCUCUUGCUCGCUCCAUCUGCCUCCCUCCAGGGGCAGAACAGAGCCUGGCUUCACCUGUUAGGCCAUGCUCACACUCCCUGUGGGGAGAAGGAGCCUGACACCACAGCUCUAAGACACUGGCCCAGGUACACAUGGAUCCAAAGCCAGAGGCUCCAGUACGGGAUCUGAGAUGCUGCAUGGGAGAUCAAUAGAAGCCAGCAAAUCUGCUCAACAGUGGAGAGGAGAGCAAAGACAGUCUAUUGGGGUGUAUGAGGGGCCAGGAAGCCCAAUGAUUGGUUAACCCUGUAGUCCCACAUUGGCCACAUUGAUAUGUCCAGGACAUGGUGAGAAGCUGUCAAUGGGCCAGCUUGGUAGCUCAGUCAGAUUAUGAUGACUGCCACCAAGCCUGAACAUCUGAGCUCAAUCCCCAGGGUCCACAAGAUGCAUGGAGAAAACCAACCCUUGUAGGCUAUCUGACCUCCACACAUGACUGAACCGUGUGUGUGUGUGUGUGUGUGUGUGUGUGUGUGUGUGUGUGUGUGUUCUGCCUGCAUAUGUGCCUGGUGCCCACAAAUGUCAUAAGAGGGUCUGAUUCCUUGGAACUGGAGUUACCCUGGUUGUGAGGUGUCAUUUGGAUACUGGAGAACAGCUAAUGCUCUUCAUGGCUGAGUUAUCUCAACAGGCCUCCACCUUGAUUCUUGAGAUUAGGUUUCUCAGCAGAUUGGAAACUCAUAUUCUGUGGCUAGGCUUGUCUGCCAGCAAGGUCCCUGCAUCUUCUGUCUCUGUAUGCCACACCUGUCUUUUACACGGUUCUGUCCUCACACAUGCACAGCAGGUACUACCCACUGAACCAUCUUGCCUUUUCUCUAUGCUUAUUUUGUAAGUGGCCACGUGUCCUUCACAGCGCUCUGCUUUUUGUUCAAAGAUGUUGCAAGGGGUGAAUGUGGAUUCCUAGGCCCACUUGGCUUCUCAGCUCUGCUCUUGGGGUCCCUGAACUUAACAGGAUUCUCAGGGACUGACAAGAUGGCUGAGUAAGUACAGGCUAAGGCCCUGAGUUUGAUUCCCUAGAUUCACAUGGUAGGAGAGAACCCACUCUAGCAACGUGACUUUUACAUGUGACCUUCACACUUGUGCUGGGGCAUGCACAACAGUACCUUAUAGCCACAAUUAGUACCUUGUCACCCUAGCCCAAAGUUGAGCUGCAGGAGGACUACUAGUGCCUCGGGGUGGGCCACUCUGCAACUAUGUCACCUGUAGCCAGGCCCUGCAUGAGAAAAGAACUAGCCCUACUCUGCUGUCUCAGAAGGCUGACGAUUACAGGGAGGGUGUGAGGAUCAGCUUGUCCUUACUUGGGACCUAGGGGUCUCUAGAUCAGUGGGAACAGCACCUCUUCCUGGCUAGCAGAGCUGGGUUCCAGCUCUGUGGAUGACAGACAUCCUAGGCUGCAGCAGUCUUGGGCUUUGGCCUUUCAAGUGUGUGGCCCCCAGAUCUAUUAAGAGUGCCCCCAGAUCUGCUAGAACACAGCAUCUUUCAGAUGCCAGAAGAGAUGGUCUCAGGUGAGGGGUCUGCAAGUGCCCAAGCCGAUAGCAUUAGGUCAUGGUGCAGUGUGAGCAGCUUCUGCUGGGCAGACCACACACCAGCUUAUUCUGGGCCCAGCACACAGAGUGCAUGCACUGGGACGGCUGUGGCUCAGCUUGGGACAGUCUGUGAGGAGGACAACUAAAUAGACGUGGCAAUUCACAAACCCAGAGAUUGAGACAAGUCUGUAGUUCCAUAGCCAGGACUUGCUCUGAAGUUUGGAAGUCUUGAGUAUGUGCCUAUGGGGACUUUGGGGACCACUGUGUCCCUACCACAGAUCGAACCUUGAAAACUGUGGAAAGACCUGAACAAAUCUGCCCAGAAACUGAGCAACACCCCAACACCAGAGGUGCCACCCUGCUCUAUUCUGAGCUGCCUCAACUGUGCACAGCAGGUCUCACCCCUUCCCCAUAUCCCCUCCCCCACUCCUCUUUGCCUUGCUUCCUGCCUAUGUCUUCUGACCUUGACUCUUCUGCCCUUUGCCCCUGGUCUGAUCUCAAGGGCAAAUGCUUCCUGGAAUCAGAAGGGUUAUGUCCUGGUUGUGGAAGAUUGGGCAGCAACGGUGGGUUCUACAAACUAAGGAGGAACUGUGCUCCACCUCCCUGCAUGUGAGCCCUGAGCACAGACCCCGGGUAAGGGCUGUGCACUCAUGACCUAGGCCUUAAGAGACCAAAGGUAUCAGCUGAUAGUGGACAGUGAGUAGACAUGUAAACAAUCUGGAGUUGGUAUGUAGGUCCAGGACAGAGUGCUGGGGGUUGCACUGAUGCAUGCGUAUACAUGAGCAGACACACACACACACACACACACACACACACACACACACACACACACACACACACACACACCAGUCUGCUGUGUUUAUUGGAAAGCAC